rnacentral:rRNA from 1 species
UACGAAGGGGGCUAGCGUUGCUCGGAAUUACUGGGCGUAAAGCGUGCGCAGGCGGUUUUGCAAGCCGGAUGUGAAAUCCCCGGGCUCAACCUGGGAAUGGCAUUCGGGACUGCAAGGCUGGAGUGCGGCAGAGGAGACUGGAAUUCCUGGUGUAGCAGUGAAAUGCGUAGAUAUCAGGAGGAAUACCGAUGGCGAAGGCAGGUCUCUGGGCUGACACUGACGCUCAUGCACGAAAGCGUGGGGAGCAAACAGG